CCUCUUCCUCGUGGAAGGGUAGUGUUUAUUAGAUACAGAACCAACCCACCUUCGGGUGGUCCYCAGGUGAUUCAUAGUAACCGAACGGAUCGCAUUAUGGCCUUUUGGUCGGCGAUGGAUCAUUCAAGUUUCUGACCUAUCAGCUUUCGACGGUACUGUAUUGGACUACCGUGGCAGUGACGGGUAACGGGGAAUUAGGGUUCGAUUCCGGAGAGGGAGCCUGAGAAACGGCUACCACAUCUAAGGAAGGCAGCAGGCGCGCAAAUUACCCAAUCCUGACUCAGGGAGGUAGUGACAAGAAAUAACAACACUGGAAAUUAUAUUUCUAGUGAUUGGAAUGAUGGGAAUCCAAACCCCUUUCAGAGUAACAAUUGGAGGGCAAGUCUGGUGCCAGCAGCCGCGGUAAUUCCAGCUCCAAUAGCGUAUAUUAAAGUUGUUGCAGUUAAAAAGCUCGUAGUUGGAUAUCUGCUGGGAGCAGCCAGUCCGCCUUAACGGGUGUGCACUUGGUGAAUUCUGGCAUCCUCCUGAUUGGUGUCAUCAUCACUUCAUUGUGUUGGUGGCAGCUGUCAGGACUGUUACUUUGAGAAAAUUAGAGUGUUUCAAGCAGGCUUGUUGCCUUGAAUACUGCAGCAUGGAAUAACAAGAUAGGAUUUCGGUUCUAUUUUGUUGGUUUCUAGGACUGAAGUAAUGAUUAAUAGGGACAGUUGGGGGCAUUCGUAUUUAACUGUCAGAGG
rnacentral:rRNA from 1 species